rnacentral:ncRNA from 2 species
UAUUCAGACGCAAAGAUGUGUAUUUUCGUAACAACAUGUAGGGCUUAAAAGGGAAGACCGGUGAAAAAACCGGCGCGGUCCCGCCACUGUAACGGGGAGUGAAUCCGCAUAGAUGUCACUGGAGCAUAGCUUUGGGAAGACGCGGGUGAGCAAAGAUCCGGAGCCAGGAGAACUGCCUGUCUAAGAAUCGCCGU